rnacentral:rRNA from 1 species
UACGAAGGGGGCUAGCGUUGCUCGGAAUCACUGGGCGUAAAGCGCACGUAGGCGGGUCUCUAAGUCAGGGGUGAAAUCCUGGAGCUCAACUCCAGAACUGCCUUUGAUACUGGGGAUCUCGAGUCCGGGAGAGGUGAGUGGAACUCCGAGUGUAGAGGUGAAAUUCGUAGAUAUUCGGAAGAACACCAGUGGCGAAGGCGGCUCACUGGCCCGGUACUGACGCUGAGGUGCGAAAGCGUGGGGAGCAAACAGG